GACGAACCGUGCGAACGUUGUUCGGAAUCACUGGGCUUAAAGGGCGCGUAGGCGGCUGCGCAAGUCCGGGGGUGAAAGCCCCCAGCUCAACUGGGGAAGUGCCUUGGAAACUGUGCAGCUCGAGCGAGGUAGGGGUCGUGGGAACUUCCGGUGGAGCGGUGAAAUGCGUUGAUAUCGGAAGGAACGCCGGUGGCGAAAGCGCACGACUGGACCUCUUCUGACGCUGAGGCGCGAAAGCCAGGGGAGCAAACGGG
rnacentral:rRNA from 1 species